UUCCUAAGAGGAGGCGCACUGAUGCAGA
rnacentral:piRNA from 1 species